UCGCUGCGACCUCGACACCCGGUUGCCUGAGUCUGAUCCGCUCUGAGCACGGCUUCAACACCACCUGCAUCACCAAGCUCUUCCCCACACGCUCGCACACUGUCGUGGCACAGAGGUUUUGGUGGAACAAAUGCAUGUUUGAGACAAGUAUGGUCAAAUUUUGUAAUGAUCGUUGACAUUUGUGGCUUCUACUAUAUAGUUGUGCAAAGACUUGAUUUCAGUUUGAAACACUUAUAUAUUUUUAUGUAAACAUACUUAUUCCUGAGAUUUUUCUAUCACUAUGAGAUGCUAGCUUGAUAUGUAA